GGAAUCGCUGCCAGUACUGCCGGCUACAGAAGUGCUUCGAAGUGGGCAUGUCCAAGGAAGCUGUGCGAAAUGACCGUAACAAGAAGAAGAAAGAAGUGAAGGAAGAAGGGUCACCUGACAGCUAUGAGCUGAGCCCUCAGUUAGAAGAGCUCAUCACCAAGGUCAGCAAAGCCCAUCAGGAGACUUUCCCCUCGCUCUGCCAGCUGGGCAAGUAUACCACGAACUCCAGUGCAGACCACCGCGUGCAGCUAGAUCUGGGGCUGUGGGACAAGUUCAGUGAGCUGGCUACCAAGUGCAUCAUCAAGAUCGUGGAGUUUGCCAAGCGGUUGCCUGGCUUUACAGGGCUCAGCAUUGCUGACCAGAUCACUCUGCUCAAAGCUGCCUGCCUAGAUAUCCUGGUAAGUUAGGCCCUGUGGGUCCUGCCACAGCCCGACCCGCAUAUGGGACCCUCCACAAUUCCUUGAUCCAUGCAAAGAUUUCCUUACCCUGCACCCCCUGCCACACAUGCGGGACUCCU
rnacentral:sRNA from 1 species